AGCUCCAAAAGCGUAUAUUAAAGUUGUUGCAGUUAAAAAGCUCGUAGUUGAACCUUGGGCUUGGUUGGCCGGUCCAUCUUUCUGAUGCGUACUGGACCCAACCGAGCCUUUCCUUCUGGCUAGCCUUUUGGCGAACCAGGACUUUUACUUUGAAAAAAUUAGAGUGUUCAAAGCAGGCCUUUGCUUGAAUAUAUUAGCAUGGAAUAAUAGAAUAGGACGUUAUGGUUCUAUUUUGUUGGUUUCUAGGACCAUCGUAAUGAUUAAUAGGGACGGUCGGGGGUAUCAGUAUUCAGUUGUCAGAGGUGAAAUUCUUGGAUUUACUGAAGACUAACUACUGCGAAAGCAUUUACCAAGGACGUUUUCA
rnacentral:rRNA from 1 species